UAGAAUGUGGUGUAUUGGUAGCACGGAGAUUUUUGAUUUCUUAUGUAUAGGUUCAAGUCCUAUUUUUCUAA
rnacentral:tRNA from 1 species